GUGAGUUCAGCUGUCUGUACAAGCUUAUUCUUGCUCCCAGCAUACAUCAUCUGCUGCUCAGGCUUGCAUCCAACAGGACUGGAGAAGAUAAAGCACAAUGGAUAAGAAACUCUUCCGUCUUCGUGCUGAUACUUGUAACUGUACACAAUAAAUCGAGGUUGUCUCUCAGGCAGCUCAUCUUUUAGCUCAUCUGGAGAAAUACCCUCAUGCUCCUCAUCCAGUACCACCAACUGCUUAUCCUUGUCGAUUUUCAUUAUAAUGGCAGCAUUGUUGGUUUCUUUACGGAACCGGAACUUUCGCAGCUUCUCCACCAGGUCUUCAGCAACAUCACAAACCACCAGAGAUUCACUCAUCUUGAGCGCGCGCGCCAACACCACAACCGUCCGCGCCGCCGCCCCGCCGCCUCCUCACUGAGCUGCCCUCC
rnacentral:lncRNA from 1 species